CCUACGGGAGGCUGCAGUGAGGAAUAUUGGUCAAUGGACGAGAGUCUGAACCAGCCAAGUAGCGUGAAGGACGACUGCCCUAUGGGUUGUAAACUUCUUUUAUAUGGGAAUAAAACGUUCCACGUGUGGGAUUUUGUAUGUACCAUAUGAAUAAGGAUCGGCUAACUCCGUGCCAGCAGCCGCGGUAAUACGGAGGAUCCGAGCGUUAUCCGGAUUUAUUGGGUUUAAAGGGAGCGUAGGUGGAUUGUUAAGUCAGUUGUGAAAGUUUGCGGCUCAACCGUAAAAUUGCAGUUGAAACUGGCAGUCUUGAGUACAGUAGAGGUGGGCGGAAUUCGUGGUGUAGCGGUGAAAUGCUUAGAUAUCACGAAGAACUCCGAUUGCGAAGGCAGUUCACUGGACUGCAACUGACACUGAGGCUCGAAAGUGUGGGUAUCAAACAGGAUUAGAUACCCGGGUAGUC
rnacentral:rRNA from 1 species